UACGUAGGGUGCAAGCGUUGUCCGGAAUUAUUGGGCGUAAAGAGCUUGUAGGCGGUUUGUCGCGUCUGCUGUGAAAUUUCGGGGCUCAACCCCGAACUUGCAGUGGGUACGGGCAGACUAGAGUGUGGUAGGGGAGACUGGAAUUCCUGGUGUAGCGGUGAAAUGCGCAGAUAUCAGGAGGAACACCGGUGCGAAGGCGGGUCUCUGGGCCGAUACUGACGCUGAGGAGCGAAAGCGUGGGGAGCGAACAGG
rnacentral:rRNA from 1 species